rnacentral:rRNA from 1 species
AUUUAAUGCUUGCUUGGAAGCCUUCCUAUGUUUUAUUACAAACGCUUCAGUUUAAGAAUGUUUACCUGCGUAUAACGCAUUUAUAUACAACUUUCAGCAACGGAUCUCUUGGCUCUCGCAUCGAUGAAGAACGCAGCGAAAUGCGAUAAGUAAUGUGAAUUGCAGAAUUCAGUGAAUCAUCGAAUCUUUGAACGCACCUUGCGCUCCCUGGUACUCCGGGGAGCAUGCCUGUUUGAGUGUCAUGGUAUUCUCAACCUUCAUAACUUUUGUUAUCGAAGGCUUGGACUUGGAGGUUGUGCUGGCUUCUAGUUAAGUCGGCUCCUCUUAAAUGUAUUAGCGUGAGUGUAACGGAUCGCUUCGGUGUGAUAAUUAUCUGCGCCGUGGUCGUGAAGUAACAUAAGCUUGCGCUUCUAACCGUCCUUCAGUUGGACAAUUACUUUGACAUCUGACCUCAAAUCAGGUAGGACUACCCGCUGAACUUAAGCAUAUCAAUAAGCGGAGGA